UACGGGGGGAGCAAGCGUUGUUCGGAUUUACGUGGGCGUAAAGGGCGCGUAGGCGGUCAGCACAAGUCAGUUGUGAAAUCUCCGGGCUUAACUCGGAAAGGUCAACUGAUACUGUGCGACUAGAGUGCGGAAGGGGCAACUGGAAUUCUCGGUGUAGCGGUGAAAUGCGUAGAUAUCGAGAGGAACACCUGCGGCGAAGGCGGGUUGCUGGGCCGACACUGACGCUGAUGCGCGAAAGCCAGGGGAGCGAACGGG
rnacentral:rRNA from 1 species